CCUACGGGUGGCAGCAGUGAGGAAUAUUGGUCAAUGGGCGAGAGCCUGAACCAGCCAAGUCGCGUGAGGGAGUACUGCCCUAUGGGUUGUAAACCUCUUUUGUCGGGGAGCAAAAGCCGGACGUGUCCGGCUGUGAGAGUACCCGAAGAAAAAGCAUCGGCUAACUCCGUGCCAGCAGCCGCGGUAAUACGGAGGAUGCGAGCGUUAUCCGGAUUUAUUGGGUUAAAAGGGUGCGCAGGCGGAGUGUUAAGUCAGCGGUAAAAUCGUGGGGCUCAACCCCAUCCAGCCGUUGAAACUGGGGAUCUAGAGUGUGCGAGAGGUAUGCGGAAUGCGUGGUGUAGCGGUGAAAUGCAUAGAGAUCACGCAGAACACCGAUUGCGAAGGCAGCAUACCGGUGCACAACUGACGCUCAGGCACGAAAGCGUGGGUAUCGAACAGGAUUAGAUACCCCUGUAGUC
rnacentral:rRNA from 1 species